rnacentral:rRNA from 1 species
UCGGGAAUUUUGGGCAAUGGGCGCAAGCCUGAUCCAGCCAUGCCGCGUGAACGAUGAAGGCCUUAGGGUUGUAAAGUUCUUUUGUCAGGGAAGAUAAUGACGGUACCUGAAGAAUAAGCACCGGCUAACUUCGUGCCAGCAGCCGCGGUAAUACGUAGGGUGCGAGCGUUAAUCGGAAUUACUGGGCGUAAAGCGUGCGCAGGCGGCGACAUAAGACAGAUGUGAAAUCCCCGGGCUCAACCUGGGAACUGCGUUUGUGACUGUGUUGCUAGAGUGUAGCAGAGGGGGGUGGAAUUCCACGUGUAGCAGUGAAAUGCGUAGAGAUGUGGAGGAACACCGAUGGCGAAGGCAGCCCCCUGGGUUAACACUGACGCUCAUGCACGAAAGCGUGGGGAGCAAACAGGAUUAGAUACCCCCGUAGUCCCUGAGCGGGCUGGCAAGGCGCAU